GCCGGCAUAGCUCAGUGGUAGAGCAGCUGAUUCGUAAUCAGCAGGUCGAGGGUUCAAAUCCCCCUGCCGGCU
rnacentral:tRNA from 1 species